GAUGCUAUGAAUGCUAAUGGAGAAACUGCUAAUGCUAGCGCGUGAGACUCAGACUAAAGAGAAACUGACGAGUUCCAGACUGCUCUAAUGGGCGAAUUAUUUUGAGUUAUUCUGUGUGAUACAAGACUCCGUUCACCGCCACCUGCCUUGCUGCCUUUCGUUUCCCUGCAUUUGGGUCCACACCACCUGCCUGCCCGGUUUUCCUGACAAUUUCAAU